rnacentral:rRNA from 1 species
UUUAUUACCCUUGUCUUUUGCGCACUUGUUGUUUCCUGGGCGGGCUCGCCCGCCACCAGGACCACAUACAAACCUUUUUUAUGUAGUUGCAAUCAGCGUCAGUAUAACAAAUGUAAAUCAUUUACAACUUUCAACAACGGAUCUCUUGGUUCUGGCAUCGAUGAAGAACGCAGCGAAAUGCGAUACGUAGUGUGAAUUGCAGAAUUCAGUGAAUCAUCGAAUCUUUGAACGCACAUUGCGCCCUUUGGUAUUCCAAAGGGCAUGCCUGUUCGAGCGUCAUUUGUACCCUCAAGCUUUGCUUGGUGUUGGGCGUUUUUUUGUCUUUGGCCUGCCCAAAGACUCGCCUCAAAACGAUUGGCAGCCGGCCUCCUGGUUUCGCAGCGCAGCACAUUUUUGCGCUUGCAAUCAGCAAUAGAGGACGGCACUCCAUCAAGACUCGUUUAUCACUUUUGACCUCGGAUCAGGUAGGGAUACCCGC